CCUGUGGUGAGCCGCUUCUGCCGUUUCUGCAGAUUAUGGUCGCCAUUACAAGAUGACGCUGGCUCCGCUGUGGUCUGUGACAAACAACUCCUUAUCUGGGAGAGUUGGCACAUGAUUUUUCACCACCCUGUACACCACCCUGUGAGAAAGCUCCACGCGGCAGCUUUGCAUUGGGGCUUGAGAUGCUUUAUUAAGGCUGGGAGGGGCAUCCGAGAAGGAGAAGAAGAAAUAUCAAGGGCCUGAAUAAACUGCUGAAAGAAGAUUCCGGAGUUGCAUCUUCCUUGCGGGCAAGGGGUCGCGACAAGUGGUGCCGAAACCCGGGAACCAGAACUUUCAGCAGUCAGGGGUGGUGCACCGGUUAGUCCCAGAUUAUGGUCGCCAUUACAAGAUGACGCUGGCUCCGCUGUGGUCUGUGACGAACAACUCCUUAUCUGCGAGAGUUGGCACAUGAUUUUUCACCACCCUGUACACCACCCUGUGAGAAAGCUCCACGCGGCAGCUUUGCAUUGGGGCUUGAGAUGCUUUAUUAAGGCUGGGAGGGGCAUCCGAGAAGGAGAAGAAGAAAUAUCAAGGGCCUGAAUAAACUGCUGAAAGAA